rnacentral:lncRNA from 1 species
CGUCCUGGAGAUAUAGAACAAAUUAGAUUGUCAAAAAAAGUUCACAGGAAAAUAAAUUGGUUUGGCUAUAACAAAGGGAUGUUAGACGUAAAGAUGAUUUGAUGUAGUACAGAGAUAGCGGCUUGACAAUGAUAUGAGGCAAUUAGUCGUAGUAGUAUAAACGCAUCCUGGGAAAGCGUCACUGAAUUCACAACAUUGGUCACCUAAAAAUUAAAAGAAAUUAAUAAGAGAAAUGAGAUCGUUUGGAUGUCAAUGUCCUCAUAAGUUAAAAACCUGCUUUUGUCAGGAAAGUGGAAUAGCAUUCGAAAACAUUAAAUGUCAACAUAAGCUUUUUCUCACCUAAUUAGGUUAUUACUAUAUUGUUUUGCUCACAAGGUUCAUACUGCGACGUAGAAUUACAAACUCCCGUGCUCUGAGACAGGGCUCUGACUGGUGCUUAUAGGCAUGUUUUAAUAAAUCUACUUUUAUAAAUAAAGCUACUUUUAUCACUAUACUAAAUUUUCCAGCCAUUUAUACCACUCAACAACAAAGGUGUGUCAUAAGACAAAAUACCCAACUUGCUACCCACUUGUAAAUAUGUUUGUCAGCAAUUAAAGCAUGGCAUUUGUAUGGCAUGAAAAACACGUGGACGUUUAAAAUUAAUGAGAAAUUUUAGUCUCUUUCUGUGGUCAGCCAUGCGUGUCUAGUAAAUUGUUAAUGCACAUCCUUUCUAAGAUAAAUUUUUCAGGAUUUGACACGGAUGGAAUUUUAUCAUUUUUUUUUUUGAAAAUCUUAGACGAAGCUGUAAUUUUAGUUUUUUUCCUUCGCUACUUAAAUAUAAAUUGCCGUAUAACAUGUUUAUCAGACGCUUCCAAAUAUUAUUUCUGUAUAUGAAUGUUUCGUGUUUCAGGUCAUUGGUAAUGUUUUCAUUCCAGUGGCAUAUUGCUAAACUUGUUCUAACAGAAUAAUGGGAAUCUCCAAAAGUGCUUCUAUGUUUAUCAUGGGAUUUGUUUAAAGUGUUAUUGAAAGAUUCAACAAGUGCCGAGACCAUCUCAUAAACAGAAUUUUCGGCGUGCUUAUAAACAUCCAUCUUUUUGACUGCAUUCAAAAGUAACUGCUCUGCAAAAGACGAUGUGAUGAUUUGUCUGCUAGGAAUAUAAUUGGGAUCUUUAAGGUAGCGUGACUCUGAAAAACAAUUUGUAUGUAUAUGUUUAUAAUGUUGAACUAUAUUAUCCAAGUAAGAUCUUAAUAACAUAGCGUAACCAUUGCAUCUUUUCAUUGCAAAGUUAAUGUGUGUUUUUAACGGGUUUCAUUAUAGACCAUGUUUUACCUUCACGGCACUAAGCGCCGCAGGAUAUAGUCUUCAAUUGUUUUUCAACAGAGACAGACGCAUGCCACGUGUCAUUUUGGUUGACAGUUGCCUGUUGGUUUUCGCGAACAUACUUAUUUAUAGAUGCGUUACGAUCAUGAACAAAUCUAACUUUGAUAUUAUUUUCGGAAAAUUUACUGUAGAUUUUCUUUGUUCCAGUUAACUCGUGCCGCUGAGCACAAGGGUCAUCUGCACGGCGAAUAAUCUCAUUCACUACCACUUUGCGAGUUUUUAUAACCCAUGCAAAUAACAUCUGUAUAUUUAGAAUGUUUCCUUGUGGAAUGCCGAACGUCUGUAAUAAUGUCAAUUGUAUCACUGCUGUUUAGUUCCUGUGUAAGAGCUGUAGCGCUAGAUGCAGCUCUUUCAGAUUCAAUAUACAGACUGAAAUCAUUCAUGUACUCAUUUGUUUUUCUAGGUGAUAAAGCUCCUAUACCAAUAGUAUCAUUAAAGCGAUUCAUUUUUGAUGGCAAAAUACCACUGGUAAUAAACCCAUGUAAAAGAUGAAGAGUCACCAAGUUCUGUUUGGAAGGUCUAGCGAUGCUUUCCACAUAUACUUUGAAAGGCAUUGCUUACAUGAAAUUUUAUAAAGAAUACCAUGUCCAUUUUUAUUUGCAACUGUUAUGGAUAAUUCACAUGAACAAAGUAAAGUGUGAUGCUUGGUUAUUUUCAAGAGACACAUAAGAGCUGUCUCACUUGUAACUAUUAUAUCCUCCCCUGUUCUCGAUAAUGAACAGCUUUGGUCAAGUUCAAAGUCUGUUCCUUCCAUGCGUUGCAUGUACUGAGCUACUGUCAAAUUUUAAAUAUUUAGGAAAUUACAUUUUUUAACUCCUGAACGAAGUGCACAUUGAAUAUCACAAAGAUUUGUCUUCAGUUUAUUAAAUUCCAUGAUAUCUCCAUAUAGACUUAGGCUGAAUUUUCGCUUGCGUUCCAUUUUAUACUAAAUAUAACACACCACUUCUUAUUGCUACCUAAGUAAAUAUACAAUGGUAAACAUUUGUUUAUACACAACAUAUAACGGUAUAUAUCACUGUACACAUGUGUACAUGUGUUGAAAUAUUUUACAAGUAGAAAUGGCUAAUAAACAAAUUUUCAUGGAAGUUACGGCUGAGCAGGAAGAAGAGAUUUUAGACUUCAUUAAUCCUAAAAAUUGGGAUAUACGAGUAACACUUCAUGAUCAGCAUACUGAUGCAGGUAAUACGGAUGGGAACAAUGAUGAUGUCCGUCCAAUGGAAAGACAUUUAGCUAAUGAAGAGGAAUGUCCCUACUGCCUUUGCGCACCAUGCGUCACAAAUGAACGCAAUAAGCAAAUCUGGUGACCGGACAGUUACAGUCCUCCAGAUUCUAAGGAAUUCUUGCUUAAGAAAGCCAAUUUAUCAGCGCUUUUGGGGAAUGCUGUACAACUGCGGCGCAUGGGCGGACCCAAGAUAUCUCCAUAAGAAAUCCACUGACCGAAAGGGAGACAUCACAUGGCACAGACGAGAACUUAUGCCACAGUGUGUUAUUGAACGUUGCAGAGAAUGGUUCCCAAAUUAACCAAAACAGCCAUAUAUGGGCCACAAGUAGAACUGACAGUUCAAUAAAUGAUAUACAUUGUAACACAAUAAAUUCAGAAAAUAUUUAUCUUAUCUCUUAUGAGGUAUUGUAUAUAGGAAUACCCUGUGUCUUGGCCUCAAUUUAUACCCUCACUCUAUUUUAACAGGUGUUACUGUUCAUAGUCAGGAUUUUCAUGCUUUUUCAGUGACAGUUUAAGGUUAAAAGGUAGGACGGGAGCAGGGCUUUUAUAAGCCAUAUGCUAAAUUAUAUUAUUGUGUAACAGGCACUUUUAAAACAGGCUCCAAUUAUUAAGUUUCACUAAAAUAGCUUUGCCUAGGAAAACAUUUACUGUAAAUCUGGACAUUAGAAUUAAUUAACUCAAUCAAGAUCAAAUUCUGCAAGUGGCAUGGGACUGAUCUGAAACCAAGGAAUCUGCAGAACAUAAUGCAAUGGCUUAAAUAUUCGGCAUUUUAUAUAGAGCUUCAUAUCUGCAAAGGUCAUUAUGCAUACUAGUAGUGCCUAAAAUGGUUGUACACCAAAACAACAACAAAAAGAAAAAGAAGAGGGAAAGUGACUUGUAUAUAUUCAUGACUGAGCUAAAUUCAACAUUUUCCUAUGUAACUUGUGCAGUUAAAAGCUUUAUAUAAAUUUGAACCUUG